GCUGGAGGGCCAGGGCCCCCACUGCCCGAGUUCUGUAGGCGUCAGACGUCAGGUCGACUUGAGGCGCGCGGUUGGUCCCUCUUGUCACGUGCUGUCUUCUGGGCCGCGAAUUUGAGUGAAGUCAGGAUGGGAGGAUGGGGACUGUUGCCUUCCACACUCAUAAGAACACUUAAAACAAACAAACACACACAUACACGCACACACACGCACACACGCACGAGGGAAGGAGGGGCAGAGAGAGGGGUAGGGCUCAGUGGCACCGACCAGCCCCUCCCAUCUCUUGUUGUCCCAAGGAUUCCCCACUCAGACACACGGUACACGCCUGCACGCCUACACCACAGUCGUCAACACCCUCUCACGCAUACACACACGCGUACCACUUGGCCAGCAUACACGUGCGCACGCACAGCAGCAGGGAGGCGGGAGGGCAGACGGGGAGGGGGGUUGUGCUGAUGAACCCACUACAGCGAUCGAUCGGUCCCUGCGGCGGAGGCUGACCGAGGCUGGAAAGUCUGGUUUAUCGAUGACGUCAGCCCACCCUGCAGUCUCCACACAGCCUCCCACAGUCGGGCGAGGAGGGGCCGGAGGGUACACAGGGUGCAGACACACUUUCGGGCAAAGGGAGGUCGACAGACUCCUGACGUGCUCAGGCAGACUGCGCGAAGGGUGGGUGAGACGAGUUUGAGCAAGCGAGUGACAGGGACCAUCAGGGUAUACGUGAGUAGGUAUAGGUGAGUAACAGGGUAUACGUGAGUAGGUAUAGGUGAGUAACAGGGUAUACGUGAGUAGGUAUAGGUGAGUAACAGGGACCAUCAGGGUGGAAGUACGAAGGAGGGUUAGAGAGCGAGUAGCCAGCAAUGGUCCUAGAGUGCAAGCUUACAAACACUUUAAUCUGACUGCCGCCUUUGACAUGACUGCUACACUUGAUGUCAGGGUUGUGUAACACUUGUAACGCUUGUGUAACACUUGUACUACCCGUUGGUCACAGCUGAAUAAUUACUACAGUACGUGUCCAAGGUGAGUAACUUUACAAGUUAGACAAGUUGUGACAAGUUAUUCAUUGACAGUAACUUCCUGCACGUAACUGAAAUUUAUCACAACAAACAAACAAACAAACAAACAAACAAACAAACAAACAAACAAACAAAC